rnacentral:rRNA from 1 species
UACGUAGGGACCAAGCGUUGUUCGGAUUUACUGGGCGUAAAGGGCGCGUAGGCGGCAAUUCAAGUCAUCUGUGAAAUCUCCGGGCUUAACUCGGAACGGUCAGAUGAUACUGCUUUGCUCGAGUGCGGAAGGGGCAAUCGGAAUUCUUGGUGUAGCGGUGAAAUGCGUAGAUAUCAAGAGGAACACCUGAGGUGAAGACGGCGUCCUGGACAAUUACUGACGCUGAGACGCGAAAGCGUGGGGAGCAAACAGG